rnacentral:piRNA from 3 species
UAACUCAAACGUCGAGCAUGAAGGC